GUAGGUGGCAAGCGUUGUCCGGAAUUAUUGGGCGUAAAGCGCGCGCAGGCGGUUCUUUAAGUCUGAUGUGAAAGCCCACGGGCUCAACCUUGGAGGGUCAUUGGAAACUGGAGAACUUGAGUACAGAAGAGGAAAGCGGAAUUCCACGUGUAGCGGUGAAAUGCGUAGAGAUGUGGAGGAACACCAGUGGCGAAGGCGGCUUUCUGGUCUGUAACUGACGCUGAGGCGCGAAAGCGUGGGGAGCAAACAGGAUUAGAUACCCUGGUAGUCCACGCCGUAAACGAUGAGUGCUAAGUGUUAGGGGGUUUCCGCCCCUUAGUGCUGCAGCUAACGCACUAAGCACUCCGCCUGGGGAGUACGGCCGCAAGGCUG
rnacentral:rRNA from 1 species